rnacentral:rRNA from 1 species
GAUGAACGCUGGCGGCGUGCCUAAUACAUGCAAGUCGAGCGAACAGACGAGGAGCUUGCUCCUCUGACGUUAGCGGCGGACGGGUGAGUAACACGUGGAUAACCUACCUAUAAGACUGGGAUAACUUCGGGAAACCGGAGCUAAUACCGGAUAAUAUAUUGAACCGCAUGGUUCAAUAGUGAAAGACGGUUUUGCUGUCACUUAUAGAUGUAUCCGCGCCGCAUUAGCUAGUUGGUAAGGUAACGGCUUACCAAGGCAACGAUGCGUAGCCGACCUGAGAGAGAGAUCGGCCACACUGGAACUGAGAAACAGUCCAGACUCCUACAGGAGGCAGCAGUAGGGUAUCUUCCGCAAUGGGCGAAAGCUUAGCGGAACAACGCCGCGUGAGUGAUGAAGGUCUUCGGAUCGUAAAACUCUGUUAUUAGGGAAGAACAAAUGUGUAAGUAACUAUGCACGUCUUGACGGUACCUAAUCAGAAAGCCACGGCUAACUACGUG